rnacentral:rRNA from 1 species
UAGGGAAUCUUCGGCAAUUGACGAAAGUCUGACCGAGCAACGCCGCGUGAGUGAAGAAGGUUUUCGGAUCGUAAAACUCUGUUGUUAGAGAAGAACAAUGACGUUAGUAACUGAACGUCCCCUGACGGUAUCUAACCAGAAAGCCACGGCUAACUACGUGCCAGCAGCCGCGGUAAUACGUAGGUGGCAAGCGUUGUCCGGAUUUAUUGGGCGUAAAGCGAGCGCAGGCGGUUUCUUAAGUCUGAUGUGAAAGCCCCCGGCUCAGCCGGGGACAGUCAUUGGAAGCUGGGAGACUUGAGUGCAGAAGAGGAGAGUGGAAUUCCAUGUGUAGCGGUGAAAUGCGUAGAUAUAUGGAAGAACGCCAGUGGCGAACGCGGCUCUAUGGUAUGUAACUGACACUGAGGCUCGAAGGCGUGGGGAGCAAACAAG